UAUUAUCAUUCCCUGAUAACAUGCAUCACCUUACAAAUCUAAAAGUGAUAGAUGUCACUGGUUCUUCUGAAUUAUGGAAAAGAUACAGGCCAGAAGUUGGAGAGGAUUGGCACAACAUAUCUCAUGUCAAUCUUGUUUGGCAAGAUUAUCAAUCAGAAAAUGAAAAAGAAUCAACAGUCAAAAGUUAAAGGUUAUACAGUUCUGUCGGUCUCUCUACCUCAUCUAUGUAUUUACUUAGUUGAACAUGAAGUUAUG
rnacentral:sRNA from 1 species